rnacentral:rRNA from 1 species
UACGGAGGGUGCAAGCGUUAUCCGGAUUCACUGGGUUUAAAGGGUGCGUAGGUGGGCAGGUAAGUCAGUGGUGAAAUCUCCGGGCUUAACCCGGAAACUGCCAUUGAUACUAUCUGUCUUGAAUACCGUAGAGGUGAGCGGAAUAUGUCAUGUAGCGGUGAAAUGCUUAGAUAUGACAUAGAACACCAAUUGCGAAGGCAGCUCACUACACGAAUAUUGACACUGAGGCACGAAAGCGUGGGGAUCAAACAGG